ACAAGCGAAAAACUAGAAACUCCAAGGACUUGGCGGUGCCCCGCAUCGGCCUAGAGGAGCCUGUCCUAUAAUCGAUACCCCACGUUAAACCUUACCAUCUUUUGCCCUUCAGCCUAUAUACCGCCGUCGUCAGCCUACCUUAUGAAAGCAGAAUAGUAGGCAAAAAAGUUAAUAACUAGAACGUCAGGUCAAGGUGUAGCACACAAGAUGGGAGAGAUGGGCUACAUUUUCUACUCCAGAACAUACGAAUGACACAAUGAAACAUGUACCUAAAGGUGGAUUUAGUAGUAAGAUAGAUAAGCAACACUAUCUUAAACCCGCUCCGGGGCGCGCACACACCG
rnacentral:rRNA from 1 species